AAACAGAGCAAAGUGAGGAGAUUGUAGCAAGUAUACCAGACGAAACAGGGUUGAAUAAUCAUCAAAAAGUAGCAUUAAUUGGUGCAUGGAGCUUGGUAAAAAAAGAUAUAAUUUCACAUGGAAGAAAUAUUUUUGUAAGGUACUCUCAUUGAUUAUGGGCUGCACAAUCCUCUUAUGUUCAAAUGCAGUUUGUCCAAAAUGAUGAAAAAUCAUAAAAAACAUGGAGUACACAAAAAAGAUGUGACGGAAAAUAAUACAUUAUGAGAAGAAUGCAUCAUUUGUUUUCCAUCAAAUCGACUUUUUUCAAUUUUGAUUAAAAACAUUACAGAUUGUUUGUGAAGUUAUAAUGAAAUAUUGCCUGGAAGUUCUUGAUCAACAUCACUCCACAACAUUGGAAGCAGCAUUUAAAUCUUUGAUGAGGAGUAUUGCUGAUACAUUUGAUGAAUAAUUUGAUAAAUAUAUGGAAGA